rnacentral:rRNA from 1 species
AUUGAACGCUGGCGGCAGGCCUAACACAUGCAAGUCGAGCGGAUGAGAGGAGCUUGCUCCUUGAUUUAGCGGCGGACGGGUGAGUAAUGCCUAGGAAUCUGCCUGGUAGUGGGGGAUAACGUUCCGAAAGGAACGCUAAUACCGCAUACGUCCUACGGGAGAAAGCAGGGGACCUUCGGGCCUUGCGCUAUCAGAUGAGCCUAGGUCGGAUUAGCUAGUUGGUGAGGUAAUGGCUCACCAAGGCGACGAUCCGUAACUGGGCUGAGAGGAUGAUCAGUCACACUGGAACUGAGACACGGUCCAGACUCCUACGGGAGGCAGCAGUGGGGAAUAUUGGACAAUGGGCGAAAGCCUGAUCCAGCCAUGCCGCGUGUGUGAAGAAGGUCUUCGGAUUGUAAAGCACUUUAAGUUGGGAGGAAGGGCAGUAAGCUAAUACCUUGCUGUUUUGACGUUACCGACAGAAUAAGCACCGGCUAACUUCGUG